UACGUAGGGUGCAGGCGUUAAUCGGAAUUACUGGGCGUAAAGCGUGCGCAGGCGGUUUGCUAAGACAGGUGUGAAAUCCCCGGGCUUAACCUGGGAACUGCGCUUGUAACUGGCAAGCUGGAGUGUGGCAGAGGGGGGUGGAAUUCCACGUGUAGCAGUGAAAUGCGUAGAGAUGUGGAGGAACACCGGUGGCGAAGGCGGCAUCCUGGACCGACAUUGACGCUGAGGCGCGAAAGCCAGGGGAGCAAACGGG
rnacentral:rRNA from 1 species